rnacentral:rRNA from 1 species
CAAGGCCUUGCGCUCUUUGAGCGGCCGAUGUCAGAUUAGCUAGUUGGUGAGGUAAAGGCUUACCAAGGCGACGAUCUGUAGCGGGUCUGAGAGGAUGAUCCGCCACACUGGAACUGAGACACGGUCCAGACUCCUACGGGAGGCAGCAGUGGGGAAUUUUGGACAAUGGGGGCAACCCUGAUCCAGCCAUGCCGCGUGAGUGAAGAAGGCCUUCGGGUUGUAAAGCUCUUUCGGCCGGGAAGAAAUCGCAUGGGCCAAUACCCUGUGUGGAUGACGGUACCGGAAUAAGAAGCACCGGCUAACUACGUGCCAGCAGCCGCGGUAAUACGUAGGGUGCGAGCGUUAAUCGGAAUUACUGGGCGUAAAGCGUGCGCAGGCGGUUUUGUAAGACAGGCGUGAAAUCCCCGGGCUUAACCUGGGAACUGCGUUUGUGACUGCAAGGCUAGAGUACGGCAGAGGGGGGUGGAAUUCCACGUGUAGCAGUGAAAUGCGUAGAGAUGUGGAGGAACACCAAUGGCGAAGGCAGCCCCCUGGGUCGAUACUGACGCUCAUGCACGAAAGCGUGGGUAGCAAACAGGAUUAGAUACCCUGGUAGUCCACGCCCUAAACUAUGUCAACUAGGUGUUGGGUGGGUAAAACCAUUUAGUACCGUAGCUAACGCGUGAAGUUGACCGCCUGGGGAGUACGGCCGCAAGGUUAAAACUCAAAGGAAUUGACGGGGACCCGCACAAGCGGUGGAUGAUGUGGAUUAAUUCGAUGCAACGCGAAAAACCUUACCUACCCUUGACAUGCCAGGAACUUGCCAGAGAUGGCUUGGUGCCCGAAAGGGAGCCUGGACACAGGUGCUGCAUGGCUGUCGUCAGCUCGUGUCGUGAGAUGUUGGGUUAAGUCCCGCAACGAGCGCAACCCUUGUCGUUAAUUGCCAUCAUUUAGUUGGGCACUUUAACGAGACUGCCGGUGACAAACCGGAGGAAGGUGGGGAUGACGUCAAGUCCUCAUGGCCCUUAUGGGUAGGGCUUCACACGUCAUACAAUGGUCGGUACAAAGGGUUGCCAAGCCGCGAGGCGGAGCCAAUCCCAGAAAGCCGAUCGUAGUCCGGAUUGCAGGCUGCAACUCGCCUGCAUGAAGUCGGAAUCGCUAGUAAUCGUGGAUCAGCAUGUCACGGUGAAUACGUUCCCGGGUCUUGUACACACCGCCCGUCACACCAUGGGAGCGGGUUCCGCCAGAAGUAGGUAGCCUAACCGCAAGGGGGGCGCUUACCA